UUCGUUGAACGGAGUUGUUGCGGGUGCACGACGACCGUUCGUGACAUUCUCCCCCACUUAAACUGUCGACGCCCUCGUCGACGCUUGUUAGUAGUUGUUGAUGACUUCUUCUUCAUGUCGCAGGGCAUCUUCAGGCUCCCAACUGGCUUCAGUUCGGGGAAGCUUUCGCCACUUCACCAAGUACUCUGUCUGCUCAGCUCCGUUGGGUAGCU
rnacentral:lncRNA from 1 species